rnacentral:piRNA from 1 species
UUUGUAUUUCUUAUUAGGAGU